rnacentral:rRNA from 1 species
UGCACAUCUUGACGGUACCUAACCAGAAAGCCACGGCUAACUACGUGCCAGCAGCCGCGGUAAUACGUAGGUGGCAAGCGUUAUCCGGAAUUAUUGGGCGUAAAGCGCGCGUCGGCGGUUUUUUAAGUCUGAUGUGAAAGCCCACGGCUCAACCGUGGAGGGUCAUUGGAAACUGGAAAACUUGAGUGCAGAAGAGGAAAGUGGAAUUCCAUGUGUAGCGGUGAAAUGCGCAGAGAUAUG